CGGACAAUGCUGGGCCAAUUGUGCGCUGCCCUAUGGGACUCCCAAUCACGGCCGGAUGUGAUGCAGCCUGGAUUAGAACCAGGUACUGCAGUGAUGCCUUUUGUACUGAGGUGCAGAGUCUUGGAGACAUAAGAGCCAUUUUCUUAAGAUGGACAACAUUUUUAUCCGUUCGACAGGGGUGGACUUUUAUUUUGUCUAACUUUCUUUAUUGUGACAAAUUAUGAUGGAAACUGUGUCUUUCAAAUAAAUGAUGAUUGCCGAAUCCUUUUGAAGGUACGCAGGGACAAGGAUUGUCCUGACUUUCAAGAAUGCCUGAAGUGCUUUGCCUUACUUUUCUGGUUGGCUGGACAGCAGAUCGUGAAGGUGGGAAACCAGUUCAAGGUGAUGUGCUUGGCUGUGUAGCCCAACGACCCUGAAGUGUUCCUGUCUGGGGGUUACAGUGCAGAAGUCAAGGCUUGGGAUGCCCAUACCUGCAAGAGGGUGUACAGAGCAGGAAUACUGCAGACUUUGGCCAUCCUAUUCCUGACCGGGGGCAGGGAGUUUGUGACCAGCAGUGACUCAGUCAGCCAGGACUCUGCGGAGCGCACGCUCAACUUCCAAACCAUUGCUAAGGUCACCAAUCAGAUCUACCAUGUAAGUAAGACCACGGUCAUGUUCAGUAGGGCAUACUGUACCAAAAUGUUUUGCAACGGAUGUAAAUUAGCGUUUCUUAUUGGACAAUUUCAGUUAGUACUUCCCCAGUUCUAUCAGUUAGUACCUUCCCAGUUCUUUGGACAUGACGUAGCUUGUUUCACCUCAGCCAUGUUGUCCAUGCAAACAUACUGUACCUUUAAGGAGCAAAGAAGUAACUGGUAAUAAUGGAAUGUAUCUAUCAGUGUAUGUAUGUAAAGUAUCUAUCUUAAAGCUCUCACUUGUUUUGUCUUCCAUAAUACACAAUUACAGUUUUUGUCAGUCGCUUUGGUGCAUUUCUUAGAUCAAAAGUGCCAUUCUUGAUACUACUUGUACAAAUUCCAAAUCAUCUAGUCACUUGCACAAGUGGCAUCAUUAAAGCAAUUUCUUAUUCCUUUGAACAAAUUGCAAUUGCUUUUGUACAUAUUGCAACUGAUAAUGUACAAGUGUCAGCUUUUUUCCACAUUUUCAAUUGCUCAUGUCAUGUUGAUCAAAAUAUAGUAGAUGGUUCUCUGUUGAAUAGUCUUACCCCUCAAAACGUCUAGGCAUUAGUUCCUUGCAUAAGCCAUUACAUGCAAAAUUGUUGAACUAUUUGUCAUAAACUGUCAAGCAUAGUUUUACACAUUUCUAUUAGACCUUUUGUACAAAAACGUGAAUUGAUGAAUGGUGCAGGUGAAAUUGACCCUCACUCAUGAAGGAAUGUAAAGCGUUAGUUCAACCAACAAUCAACCAGUUGUCUAAAUUGCUCAAAGGUGCAUCUCAUGAAGAAUCAAUUGUCAAGCAUAUAUAGACAGACCACAACAAGGAGUUGCAAUUUUCCAAUAAUGGAUGGACCAGGAAACGAACAGGGUCAACAGCCAAGAGGAGGAAGAAGAGGAGCAAGGAUGCGUGGUGGAAGGCAAAACAGAGGAAGAGGCAGAAGAGGACAUAGGUGCAUAUCUGAUGACAUAAGGGCCACUAUUGUAGACCAUGUUGUGAAUCAUGGCCUUACAAUGGCUGAGGCGGGUCGAAGGGUGCAGCCGAAUAUUGGGAGAUCAACCGUGUCCUCAAUAGUUCAAACGUUUCGAAGAGAGAACAGGACUGCAAGAUUACCUCAAACCGGUGGCAGAGGACGCCUUUUCAUACCUCAACAGGAGGAGGCUAUUUGCACCAUGGUCCGAGCAAACAAUGCCAUGAGACUCAGGGAAAUACAAAGGACCAUUAUAGAAGACAACGAUGUCUUUGAAAACAUCCAUACGGUUAGCAUCUCAACCAUCGACAGGGUGCUGCAUAGAAACCAGAUGAGUAUGAAACAGCUGUACCGUGUACCAUUCCAAAGGAAUGAGGACAGAGUUAAGGAGCUACGGUACCAGUAUGUACAGCGUAUAAUGGAGUUGGAAUCAAGUGAACCCUCUCCCAACUUUGUAUACGUGGAUGAGGCUGGCUUCAACCUGACCAAAUGCAGAAGGCGGGGUCGGAAUAUCAUCGGUCACAGAGCUACUGUGGAUUUGCCAGGCCAACGGGGAGGAAAUAUCACCAUGUGGGCUGCUAUUUCGGAGCAUGGUGUCCUAACCCAUAUCCCCCUUAUAGGGCCAUAUAACACCCAGCAUCUACUCAACUUUUUAGAGACUCUCUACAGGGCGCUCAUCCCUGAUGAUGACAGGGGUCUGUUUAGAGAGGAUUUGCCAAAGUAUGUGGUCAUUUGUGAUAAUGUGAGUUUCCAUCGAUCAAACAUCAUAAGGCAAUGGUUUGUGACCCACCCGAGGAUGCUCAUAGAAUUCCUCCCACCUUAUUCACCAUUCCUUAACCCAAUUGAGGAGUUCUUUUCAGCAUGGAGGUGGAAGGUGUACAAUCGUUAGCCACACACACAGAUGACCCUGCUGGCUGCAAUGGAUGCAGCAUGUGAGGACAUCACAGUAGACGCCUGCAGAGGAUGGAGAAGGCAUUCCAAAAGAUUCUUUCCACGUUGCAUUGGAAGGGAAAAUAUCCGGUGUGAUGUGGAUGAGAAUAUGUGGGCCGACAGACAGGAAGGUCUGGAUGUGUAGAGACACUAGAACAGCGCUGCGGGCAAAGUUGUGCCUUAGGGGUGGUUUCCUGUGUUUCUUUCUAAUGUAGUUUUUUUUCCCUUGUGCCCCUUGGGUUGUCCAGUCUCUUUCAAUCAAUAACCCACAUACAGUAAUAUGUAAAUAGUACUGUGGAAAUUGAUAUAUGCCAUAGAAGUGCAGCCUUGUGCAUUUUCAAUACAGUAACUGUCAUCCAAACUGUAUUACAUCAGGUAAUACUGUCAAAGUACACAGUUCCAUUGACAACAUGCCUAAACAUUUUGACGACCUUGUUCGUGAACAAUGACUCAAUGACUUAUCAUUCUGAUGACACUGACAUGAUCAUUGGCGCGAGUAUUUACCUUUGAGAGAUGUACUAAGGAUUUUUAGUGACUGACUAGCUUAAGAAACACAUCUAUUGUAUAUUGCAGUUUGUACAACUUGUUCUGAGAAAUGCACUUAUUAUUUUGCACAUGUUAGGGAUGAUGUGAAAAAUGCACCAAAGCGACUGAGAAACUGUAUUCCUCUUCCUGUAAUGUAAGUAAGUGUUGGACCAAAUUGACUAUUUAAGUCAAUUACAUUUUUUUAGUGGCAGAAAAUACAGUAUUAUUGAGUAUGAAUGCCAAGCCAGUUGAAUGUUUUCUGACCUUCUACCAUUCCGUUGAAUGUUCUCUGACCUUCUACCAUUCAGUUGAAUGUUCUCUGACCUUCUACCAUUCAGUUGAAUGUUCUCUGACCUUCUACUAUUCAGUUGAAUGUUCUCUGACUGUCACGCCCUGACCUUAGAGUUCCUUUUUAUGUCUCUAUUUUGGUUUGGUCAGGGCGUGAGUUGGGGUGGGCAUUCUAUGUUCCCUAUCUAUGUUUUGUAUUUCUGUGUUUUGGCCUGGUAUGGCUCUCAAUCAGGGACAGCUGUACAUCGUUGUCGCUGAUUGGGAGCCAUACUUAGGUAGCCCUUUUUCCACCUGUCUGGUAUGGGAAGUUGUUUUUGCAUAGCUGUGAGUAGCCUGCGAAACUGUUCGUUUGCUGUGUCGCAUAUUGUUUUGGUUUUUGCUGGUUCACCAUUUUUAUUAAAGUAUGACGAACCCAACCCACGCUGCGCCUUGGUCUCAUUCCAACAACGGACGUUACACUGACCUUCUACCAUUCAGUUGCAUGUUCUCUGACCUUCUACCAUUCAGUUGCAUGUUCUCUGACCUUCUACCAUUCAGUUGCAUGUUCUCUGACCUUCUACCAUUCAGUUGCAUGUUCUCUGACCUUCUACCAUUCAGUUGAAUGAAUCCAGGAGCUGUACAUGUUCCCCAGCCUAGCCCUUUACCUCAAGGAAGAGUCCUUUGUAGCGCACACCAAUGACAACUUCAUGGCCCUAUUGUCUGCACAGCGGCCAUACGGAAUGACAAGAGGAGGCGGUAUGAGAGACCCAAGGUGCAGGGCUAUGCUGUGCUGUGUGACUUCCUCUCCAGAUGGGUCCCUACUGGUCACGGGGCACCGUCCACUUCUACGACCAGCAGAGCACACGGACACUGAACACGCUGCACCCACACCAGCAGGCCUGCGAGUGUCUCUGCACCCUGUGCUGCCCGCUGUGGUGACGACGUGUGACUGGGGUGACGAGAUCAGGAUCUGGCAGUGAUUGGCACAGAAGGACUGUAUGUAAGGGGAAUGAUUCCGAGAGCUCUCAUAGAUGAUUUUCUUCUUUGGGGAUUUAAUUAUAACACCCAGACACUACAAACAUCCAGCCGUCCUUCCUAUCUGAGCUGCCGGAGAAGAAACUGCUAAGGGAUGAUACCAUGACACUUAGUCUUCACACUGACAUUCGCUUCCAUUCAAAGACUUGCCUGUAUAUCAAACUGCUGUCAGUUGUCCAUUGGUUAGCUCAUAUCAUAACUUCAAUCAAAUGGAUAGGGAAACUGUCAAAUGGACUGUAUGUAUAUUGUAACAUAGCUUACUUAGUGUAUAGGAUGUUCACUCAUAUUGUAGAUGAACGGUGUGAUCAACCUCUGGC
rnacentral:lncRNA from 1 species